CCCUCUAUGGGUCCCUCUGUGGGUCACUGUGUGGGUCAAUGUGUGUCCCUCUAUGGGUCAAUGUGUGUCCCUCUCUGGGUCCCUCUAUGGGUCAAUGUGUGGCCCUCUAUUGGUCCCCCUAUGGGUUCAAUGUGUGGGUCAGUGUGUGGGUCAAUAUGUGUCCCUCUAUGGGUCCCCAUAUGGGUCGAUGUGUGGGUCAAUGUGUGUCCCUCUAUGGGUCCCCCUAUGGUCCCCUAUGGGUCAAUGUGGGUCCCUCUAUGGAUCCGCCUAUGGGUCCCUCUCUGGUCCCCCUAUGGGUCCCCCUAUGGGUCAAUGUGUCCCUCUAUGGGUCCCCCUAUGGGGCAACGUAUGGGUCAGUGUGUGGGUCAAUGCGGGUCUCUCUAUGGUCCCUCUAUGGGUCCCCCUAUGGGUCAAUGUGUGUCCCUCUAUGGGUCCUCCUAUGGGUGUCCCUCUCUGGUCCCUCUAUGUGUCCCCCUAUGGGUCAGUGUGUGGGUCAGUGUGUGUCCCUCUAUGGGUCCCUCUAUGUGUCCCCCUAUGGGCAAUUGUGUGGGUCAAUGUGUAUCCCUCUAUGGGUCAAUGUGGGUCCCUCUAUGGGUCCCCCUAUGGGUCAGUGUGUCCCUCUAUGGGUCCCCCUAUGGGUCCCUCUCUGGGUCCCCCUAUGGGUCAGUGUGUGUCCCUCUCUGGGUCCCCUAUGGGUCCCCCUAUGGGUCAAUGUGUGUCCCCCUAUGGGUCCCCCUAUGGAUCAAUGUGUGGGUCAAUGUGUGUCCCUCUAUGUGUCCCCCUAUGGGUCAGUGUGUGGGUCAGUGUGUGGGUCAGUGUGUGUCCCUCUAUGGGUCCCUCUAUGUGUCCCCCUAUGGGUCAAUGUGUGUCCCCCUAUGGGUCCCCCUAUGGGUCCCUCUAUGGGUCAAUGUGUCCCUCUAUGUGUCCCCCUAUGGGUCAGUGUGUGGGUCAGUGUGUGGGUCAGUGUGUGUCCCUCUAUGGGUCCCUCUAUGUGUCCCCCUAUGGGGCAAUGUGUGUCCCUCUAUGGGUCCCCCUAUGGGUCAGUGUGUAGGUCAGUGUGUGGGUCCCUCUAUGGGUCACUGUGUGGGUCAAUGUGUGUCCCUCUAUGGGUCAAUGUGUGUCCCUCUCUGGGUCCCCCUAUGGGUCCCUCUAUGUGUCCCCCUAUGGGGGCAAUGUGUGUCCCUCUAUGGGUCCCCCUAUGGGUCAAUGUGUGUCCCCCUACGGGCCCCCCUAUGGGUCAGUGUGUGUCCCUCUAUGGGUCCCUCUAUGGGUCCCUCUAUGGGUCAGUGUGUGGGUCAUUGUGUGGGUCAGUGUGUGGGUCAGUGUGUGUCCCUCUAUGGGUCCCUCUAUGUGUCCCCCUAUGGGGCAAUGUGUGUCCCUCUAUGGGUCCCCCUAUGGGUCAGUGUGUAGGUCAGUGUGUGGGGUCCCUCUAUGGGUCACUGUGUGGGUCAAUGUGUGUCCCUCUCUGGGUCCCCCUAUGGGUCCCUCUAUGGGUCCCCCUAUGGGUCAAUGUGUGUCCCCCUAUGGGUCCCCCUAUGGGUCCCCCUAUGGGUCAGUGUGUGGGUCAGCGUGUGGGUCAAUGUGUGGGUCAGUGUGUGGGUCAAUGUGUGUCCCUCUAUGUGUCCCCCUAUGGGUCAGUGUGUGGGUCAACGUGUGGGUCAGUGUGUGGGUCAAUGUGUGGGUCACUGCGCGGGGGCCGUCACUCACUGACCCCGGCCCCACGGUGACGCAGGCUUUGGGCCCCAGGCUGAGCACGCGGCCGUCGCAGCGCUGCAGCAGAU
rnacentral:lncRNA from 1 species